GGAGUAUGGGCCGUUCUCAGUCCCAUUGUGGCUGUUCAACCUCUCAGUCCAGCUACGCAUCAUCGCCUUGGUGGGCCCUUACCUCACCAACUAGCUAAUGCGCCGCAGGCCCCUCUUAUGGUGGAUCGCUCCUUUAAACAUUUAAUCAUGUGAUUUAUAAUGUCCUAUCCAGUAUUAUCCUUCGUUUCCAAAGGUUAUCCUCGUCCUUAAGGUAGGUUACCUACGUGUUACCCACCCGUUCGCCAUGGACUAGCAAGCUAGUCCAUUCGACUUGCAUGUAUUAGGCAUGCCGCCAGCGUUAAUC
rnacentral:rRNA from 1 species